AUCGAACGCUAGCGGGAUGCCUUACACAUGCAAGUCGAACGGAGUGGCGAACGGGUGAGUAAUGUAUCGGAACGUGCCCAGUAGCGGGGGAUAACUACGCGAAAGCGUAGCUAAUACCGCAUACCAUUGGAUCGGCCGAUAUCGGAUUCGCGAGUUGGUUGGGUAACGGCUCACCAAGGCGACGAGCCGUAGCCGGUUUGAGAGGACGACCAGCCACACGGGGACUGAGACACGGCCAAGACGCCUAGGGAAGGAGGAGGAGGGGAAUUGUGGACACUGGGGGAAGCCCUGAUCCAGCCAGCCGGGGUGGGCGAGAAGGGCCUUCGGGUGGUAAGGCACUUUGGUAAGGAAAGCGGUACCUGCAGAGUAAGCACCGGCUAACUACGUGCCAGCAGCCGCGGUAAUUC
rnacentral:rRNA from 1 species